UUGUUUUUCACAAAGCUCCUCUUUAAAGUGAGCUGGCAGCCUCCAGCCGCCCGUCUUUGUAAGGAGACCACUGAGACUAGCAGUAGCGCGGAGCAGCAGCCUCUCGCUGCCCUGACUUUUUAAGAAAUCUCAAUGAACUAUUUGUAAGGAAUCACUGAUCUUGCCUGCAAGCUUUUUGCACGGCAAAGACAUCGAUCAGUGUUAAGUGAAGAUCACAUUUUAUAUGUGAUCUUGACUUUUUUGUCUUACAUUGUAUUUUUAUAGAUUUUGUUAUAAACAUGGUGCUGGGAAAGGUGAAGAGUUUGACAAUAAGCUUUGACUGUCUUAAUGACAGCAAUGUCCCUGUGUAUUCUAGUGGGGAUACAGUCUCAGGAAGGGUGAAUUUAGAAGUUACUGGGGAAAUCAGAGUAAAAUCUCUUAAAAUUCAUGCAAGAGGACAUGCGAAAGUACGCUGGACCGAAUCUAGAAACGCCGGCUCCAAUACUGCCUAUACACAGAAUUACACUGAAGAAGUAGAAUAUUUCAACCAUAAAGACAUCUUAAUUGGACACGAAAGAGAUGAUGAUAAUUCUGAAGAAGGUUUCAACACUAUUCAUUCAGGAAGACAUGAAUAUGCAUUCAGCUUCGAGCUUCCACAGACACCACUUGCUACCUCAUUCGAAGGCCGACAUGGCAGUGUGCGCUAUUGGGUGAAAGCCGAAUUGCACAGGCCUUGGCUUCUACCAGUAAAAUUAAAGAAGGAAUUUACAGUCUUUGAGCAUAUAGAUAUCAACACUCCUUCAUUACUGUCACCCCAAGCAGGCACAAAAGAAAAGACUCUCUGUUGCUGGUUCUGUACCUCAGGCCCAAUAUCCUUAAGUGCCAAAAUCGAAAGGAAGGGCUAUACCCCAGGUGAAUCAAUUCAGAUAUUUGCUGAGAUUGAGAACUGCUCUUCCCGAAUGGUAGUGCCAAAGGCAGCCAUUUACCAAACACAGGCCUUCUAUGCCAAAGGGAAAAUGAAGGAAGUAAAACAGCUUGUAGCUAACUUGCGUGGGGAAUCCUUAUCGUCUGGAAAGACAGAAACGUGGAAUGGCAAGUUGCUGAAAAUUCCACCCGUUUCUCCGUCUAUCCUCGACUGUAGUAUAAUUCGUGUGGAAUAUUCACUAAUGGUAUAUGUGGAUAUUCCUGGAGCUAUGGAUUUAUUUCUUAAUUUGCCUCUUGUCAUUGGUACCAUUCCUCUACAUCCAUUCGGUAGCAGAACCUCAAGUGUAAGCAGUCAGUGUAGCAUGAAUAUGAACUGGCUUGGUUUAUCCCUACCUGAAAGACCUGAAGAACAUGCUGUUCGAACUGCGUGUAUCUUUUUCCUUCAGCACCACCCAGCUAUGCAGAAGUGGUAACAGAAGAACAAAGGCGGAACAAUCUUGCACCAGUGAGUGCCUGUGAUGACUUUGAGAGAGCUCUUCAAGGACCACUGUUUGCAUAUAUCCAGGAGUUUCGGUUCUUGCCUCCACCUCUUUAUUCAGAGAUUGAUCCAAAUCCUGAUCAGUCAGCAGAUGAUAGACCAUCCUGCCCCUCUCGUUGAAGGAUCACUUGGUUAAAUCAAGUUGAUGUGGAUUCUGAACUGUCUCUCUUCCCGGCUGAGGACAGAGAAGUAUCUUGGAGACACGUUUUCAGAGGAAGUGGAAUUGCUUUUGCCCAGAAAAAUGGCGAAUACAUGAAACAACCAGUGAUCGUGCUUUAGAAGCCUACAGCAUCAUGCUAGGACUGCUCCAACAUGCUUGAAGAUCUAAGCUUUUCUCCUUUAAAACUGGCACAUACCAAGAGCAGUCUUCUUAGCCUAUGGUCAUACGUGUCAAGACACCAUGUUGUAAAGAGGGAUGAUUUCCUUCUUUUGAUUUGAAAAUUUGCACAUGCUCAAUGCUUACAUUGUGCGGUUCGAUGUCACUACAGCUUUUUUUUUUCCCCAUUUAUGCCAGACUCUUGAUAUUCUUUUAAAACUUGUUUGUGGUCAGCACGACAAGGAACAAAAGAAAGCUUUGAAAAAACGUUAACAUGAAAAAAAAAAACGCACUGACUUUUUUUUUUUAAUUUAAUAUAUCCUGGACUUGACCUGCGUAUGCACAUGCUCAGAAUUGUCCUACUAGGCUGACCAUGUAUCACCUCUUCAGCUUGGAUCCUAUUGUGGAUUUAUUUACAAACAUCAAAUGCCUUCAAGCCAAUCCUUCUUGCUGUAUGUUUUGCAGCCUACUGUAGUAGAUACGCAACAGAUAUGUGGGAAAAGAGAUAAGAGGAGGAAGCUAAUAAGAGACUUUUCAAGAUUGUAUACCUUCUUGGUUUCUUUAAAGAAUUUGUUGCCUUUCUACUAUUACAGCAAAGCAGCAUUUUGUUACUGACUGCCUAAAAUCACUUAAUCUCAGGUGAACGCAUCACUUGCCAAACUGUUGGAAUGCUAUUUGUGUUUUGUUGCACUGUUAUUUUUUUGUUUGUUUGGUUGGUUGGCAUUUUGGAGAGGGAAAUUUGGAAAAGGGACAUACACAAAAGUGAUAACCCACCCACAUUCCCUUUUUAUCAUUACAUAUGAGAAGAAAAUAGAAGCGCUAUGAAUGGAGUAAAGAAAGGCAGUAUGGCAGGCACCAGCAAAGAGUUAAGGGCUGUUGCUCUUAAAAAUUUGUUAUUUUUAUUUUUCAAAGUAUGGAAGUUUUCCAGUCACUAGAGAGGAGAAAGUGCAUUUAUUUUUAUACAGAGUUACUUAAUUACCUCCAAAACACACGUGUUGGAAACCAUUUUUCCUGGUGCAGAGUAUUUUAAUGAGCAGGAAUAUAUGUAUGUACAGGUUAUGAUUAGAGAGCUCAAUUUAUACAUUUUCUAUCCUGCUCAAGCUUGACAGAGCUUGAAAACCCAAGUUUAUUCAAAAAGUAUAUAACUUCAAAAUUAUAAAUGCUAGAAUGUGUGCUGGAAUAAUAAAUGUUUUAUAUCUUUGUGGGUUUUUUAAUGCAAGCAUUUUUUUCCAGUACCUAAAGAACAUUUUGCUAAACAUGAGAAAUUUAUGUACUUUGAGUAUAUAUAGAUAAGAUAGGGAAAUGGUCACAUCAGUAAAUUAUAGUUUAUAUUAAAGAUAAUUUACAGUUGGCUCAUAACUGAUAUACCAGCAUUCAUGAUGACACUUAAAACGGCAUUUUCCAAGGUACCAAGUAUACUGAUUGUCUUAUUUUAGAAGGAAUUCAGCUCUGACGUUUUUAAUGAAAAUCAGCAUCUCUGAUGUUGCAACAUACAUGUGACAUGGUUGUUACAUCUAUCCUGCCAUUAACCCCACAGUUAAUAAAGUGGCUGAAAAUAAUAGUAACUCUGGCUUGGUGCUUGACCUGGUUAAAUACUGUCUUAAAGCUUCAUACAAAGCAAAUAGGCUUUUCCAUAAGUGGCCUUUAAGAAAACAUGGAAGACAAUUCAUGUUUGAAAAAUGCUGACAGGGUGAAGAAAGCCCAAUGUAAAAAUGAAUCGCGUUUUAAGUGAUUCGGUUAAAGGGUUUGGGCUCCCGUAGCAAACUAAUACUAGAUAAUAAGGAAAUGGGGGUGAAAUAUUUUUUUAUUGUUGUUAAAUCAUUUUGUGAAUGUCCCCCUCAAAAGAAGCUAAUGGAGUAUUUGGCAUAAAGGGCAUUUGGUGGUUUCAUUUUUGUUAGAGGGGGAUUGUCAGAGGAUCCCUUUUCUUUUCUCUUAUAUCUGACUAGGGAACAAUUGUUGAUAUGCAUAGCAUUGGAAUACUUAUCACCAUAUACUCUUAUAAAUAACACAAGAAUGACCAAUAUUCUGGCAAAUUGGCACUGGGUCACAAAAGGAUAAAAGUUUAAAUAUAUAUAAAACUUUAUCAAAUAAAGUUUUAUUUUCUUCAUUAAAGUAUUUCUUUACUUUCUUAUUUAGAGGCAUUACUUUGCUCUUUUCUAAGUAUUGGUCAAUUCCUGAUAUAAGAUGUGAGGUUCACAGUUGUAUUCCAGUAUUCAAGAUAGAUUCCUGAUUUUUCAAUUAGGAAAAGUAAAAUCCAAAAUGUUAGCAAAACAAAGUGCAAUAUUAAAUGUUUGCUUUAUAGAUUAUACUCUAUGGCUGUUUGUAAUUUCUCUGUUUGUUUUUUUUUGUUGUUGUUUUUUUUUCCUUUUUUAUUUGGUGCUGAAUAUGUCCUUGUAGGCUCUGUUAAGAAAACAUGUGGGAAAUGAUUUGAUUUUUCCUAUUGCUCUUCCUUGUGGAAAAUAAAGUGUUUUGUUUUUUUCUUUUUUGUAAAA